rnacentral:rRNA from 1 species
AUUGAACGCUGGCGGCAUGCCUUACACAUGCAAGUCGAACGGCAGCACGGACUUCGGUCUGGUGGCGAGUGGCGAACGGGUGAGUAAUACAUCGGAAUGUGCCCAGUUGUGGGGGAUAACUACUCGAAAGAGUAGCUAAUACCGCAUCAGAACUGAGGUUGAAAGCAGGGGAUCGUAAGACCUUGCGCAACUGGAGUGGCCGAUGGCAGAUUAGGUAGUUGGUGGGAUAAAGGCUUACCAAGCCGACGAUCUGUAGCUGGUCUGAGAGGACGACCAGCCACACUGGGACUGAGACACGGCCCAGACUCCUACGGGAGGCAGCAGUGGGGAAGUUUGGACAAUGGGCGAAAGCCUGAUCCAGCAAUGCCGCGUGCAGGAUGAAGGCCUUCGGGUUGUAAACUGCUUUUGUACGGAACGAAAAGCUUCGGGCUAAUACCCUGGAGUCAUGACGGUACCGUAAGAAUAAGCACCGGCUAACUACGUGCCAGCCGCCGCAGUAAAAC